AUACACAAUGAGUAAUGAUAACAUGGCUUUAUACACGGGGUACCAGUACAUAUAAGCAACAGGUAGCCUAGUGGUUAGAGUGGAGGGGCGGCAGGUAGCCUAGUGGUUAGAGUGGAGGGGCGGCAGGUAGCCUAGUGGUUAGAGUGUAGGGGCGGCAGGUAGCCUAGUGGUUAGAGUGUAGGGUCGGCAGGUAGCCUAGUGGUUAGAGUGUAGGGGCGGCAGGUAGCCUAGUGGUUAGAGUGUAGGGCGGCAGGUAGCCUAGUGGUUAGAGUGGAGGGGCGGCAGGUAGCCUAGUGGUUAGAGUGUAGGGGCGGCAGGUAGCCUAGUGGUUAGAGUGGAGGGGCGGCAGGUAGCCUAGUGGUUAGAGUGUAGGGGCGGCAGGUAGUCUAGUGGUUAGAGUGUAGGGCGGCAGGUAGUCUAGUGGUUAGAGUGUAGGGGCGGCAGGUAGUCUAGUGGUUAGAGUGUAGGGGCGGC
ensembl:lncRNA